UAUACGAUAAUAUAAUUAAUAACUAUGAACCAUAAUAGUACUAAAUACCAAUAACCAAAACACUGUAAUGAGUUCACGUCUCCAAUGUGCGAGCAAACCCGUUAUUUGAAAAACUAUAACUAUUAAGUUUAGAUCUAUAUAAUACGUAUUACUUACAAGGAAAUAUCAAUUUUUGUUAUUUUAUCUGUUUGGAGAUAUAGAAAACC